rnacentral:misc_RNA from 1 species
GAUGAAGAACGCAGCGAAAUGCGAUAAGUAAUGUGAAUUGCAGAAUUCAGUGAAUCAUCGAAUCUUUGAACGCACAUUGCGCCCGCCAGUAUUCUGGCGGGCAUGCCUGUUCGAGCGUCAUUUCAACCAUCAAGCCCCCGGGCUUGUGUUGGGGACCUGCGGCUGCCGCAGGCCCUGAAAACCAGUGGCGGGCUCGCUAGUCACUCCGAGCGUAGUAGUUACAUCUCGCUCAGGGCGUGCUGCGGGUUCCGGCCGUUAAAAGCCUUUUACCCCAAGGUUGACCUCGGAUCAGGUAGGAAGACCCGCUGAACUUAAGCAUAUCAAUAAGCGAGGA